rnacentral:rRNA from 1 species
CAUAGUGAUCCGGUGGUUCUGUAUGGAAGGGCCAUCGCUCAACGGAUAAAAGGUACUCCGGGGAUAACAGGCUGAUACCGCCCAAGAGUUCAUAUCGACGGCGGUGUUUGGCACCUCGAUGUCGGCUCAUCACAUCCUGGGGCUGAAGUCGGUCCCAAGGGUAUGGCUGUUCGCCAUUUAAAGUGGUACGCGAGCUGGGUUUAGAACGUCGUGAGACAGUUCGGUCCCUAUCUGCCGUGGGCGUUGGAAGAUUGAAGGGGGCUGCUCCUAGUACGAGAGGACCGGAGUGGACGAACCUCUGGUGUUCGGGUUGUGUCGCCAGACGCAUUGCCCGGUAGCUAAGUUCGGAAUUGAUAAGCGCUGAAAGCAUCUAAGCGCGAAGCGAGCCCUGAGAUGAGUCUUCCCUGACAGUUUAACUGUCCUAAAGGGUUGUUCGAGACUAGAACGUUGAUAGGCAGGGUGUGUAAGCGUUGUGAGGCGUUGAGCUAACCUGUACUAAUUGCCCGUGAGGCUUAACCAUACAACACCCAAGGGGUUUUGUA